rnacentral:rRNA from 1 species
AGUGGGGAAUCUUGCGCAAUGCGCGAAAGCGUGACGCAGCAACACCGCGUGAGGGAAGACGGCCUUAGGGUUGUAAACCUCUUUCAGAUGGGACGAAGGUUGUCCGGUGAAUAGCCGAGAUGAUUGACGGUACCGUCAGAAGAAGCUCCGGCUAACUACGUGCCAGCAGCCGCGGUAAUACGUAGGGAGCGAGCGUUGUCCGGAAUCAUUGGGCGUAAAGAGCAUGUAGGUGGAUCAAUAAGUCUGCUGUGAAAGUCGAAGGCUCAACCUUCGAAAGCCGGUGGAUACUGUUGAUCUAGAGUACGGAAGAGGCGAGUGGAAUUCCUGGUGUAGCGGUGGAAUGCGCAGAUAUCAGGAGGAACACCAAUAGCGAAGGCAGCUCGCUGGGACGUAACUGACACUGAGAUGCGAAAGCGUGGGGAGCAAA